CUCCCGAAGUGAAUGUUGGUGGUAAUCUAUGUUUCGCAGAUGUGUUGCGUAGAAAAGCUACUAUUCGUGCUCGUCCACAGCAUGCCCAACUUAAAAGUGAUUUAGUCGAGCAUAUCUGGCAUAAGUUUCAAAACAGCCAUCAUAAUUAAUCAUGGAGUGAGCUGUGAUGUGGUGAUUGCGGCAGCUGUUACUUAUAGUGGUUGAAGGUUAUUGAUGCAAAUGAGUGGUUGCUCCUUUCCAGCGAAGUACCCUCCAUGCUUUA